rnacentral:tRNA from 1 species
AUGAACUAGUUAAAAAAUAACAUUAGAAUGUCAUUCUAAAAUUACACUGAUGUGUUCAUU